ACUGCGUGAAGGUGGAGUCGCUAGUAAUCGCGGAUCAGCAACGCCGCGGUGAAUGCGUUCCCGGGCCUUGUACACACCGCCCGUCAAGUCAUGAAAGUGGGCAGCACCCGAAGACGGUGGCCUAACCCUUGUGGGGGAGCCGUCUAAGGUGAGGCUCGUGAUUGGGACUAAGUCGUAACAAGGUACC
rnacentral:rRNA from 1 species